UACGUAGGGACCAAGCGUUGUUCGGAUUCACUGGGUGUAAAGGGCUCGUAGGCGGCCAACUAAGUCAGACGUGAAAUCCCCAGGCUCAACCUGGGAACUGCGUCUGAUACUGAUUGGCUUGAAUCCGGGAGAGGGAUGCAGAAUUCCAGGUGUAGCGGUGAAAUGCGUAGAUAUCUGGAGGAAUACCGGUGGCGAAGGCGGCAUCCUGGACCGGCAUUGACGCUGAGGAGCGAAAGCCAGGGGAGCAAACGGG
rnacentral:rRNA from 1 species